AUUGAACGCUGGCGGCAGGCCUAACACAUGCAAGUCGAGCGGAUGAAGGGAGCUUGCUCCUGGAUUCAGCGGCGGACGGGUGAGUAAUGCCUAGGAAUCUGCCUUGUAUUUGGGGAUGACGUCCGGAAACGGGCGCUAAUACCGCAUACGUCCUGAGGGUGAAAGGGGGGGAUCUUCGGACCUCACGCUAUCAGAUGAGCCUAGGUCGGAUUAGCUAGUUGGUGGGGUAAAGGCCUACCAAGGCGACGAUCCGUAGCUGAUCUGAGAGGAUGAUCAGUCACACUGGAACUGAGACACGGUCCAGACUCCUACGGGAGGCAGCAGUGGGGAAUAUUCGGCAAUGGGCGAAAGCCUGAUCCAGCCACGCCGCGUGUGUGAAGAAGGUCUUCGGAUUGUAAAGCACUUUUAGUUGGGAGGAAGGGCAGUAAGUUAAUACCUUGCUGUUUUGACGUUACCAACAGAAUAAGCACCGGCUAACUUCGUG
rnacentral:rRNA from 1 species